CAGGACCCCUAGGACCGAUUUCAAAAAUAUUUUGAUUUCUUGUUAAGAGUGAAUUAAAGAACCUAUUCCAACCACUCCCACUACUGGGCAAAUGGCAUAGGCUUUGUAAACAGACUGUUCAUGUGGAACAUUUAAACCAGUUUUCCUCGGGACCCCUGGGACAGAUUUCAAAAAUAUUUUAAUUUCAUGUUAAAAUGAAGUAAAGAACCUAUUUUGACCACUCCCAGUACUGGGCAAAUGCCAAAGACU